rnacentral:rRNA from 1 species
UAGUCCACGCCGUAAACGAUGAAUACUAGGUGUCGGGGGUCGAACCUCGGUGCCGCAGCUAACGCAUUAAGUAUUCCACCUGGGGAGUACGAUCGCAAGAUUGAAACUCAAAGGAAUUGACGGGGGCCCGCACAAGCGGUGGAGCAUGUGGUUUAAUUCGAUGCAACGCGAAGAACCUUACCUGGGCUUGAACUGGUACUGCAAUACUGUGAAAGCAGUUAUUCCUUCGGGACGGUACUAGAGGUGCUGCAUGGCUGUCGUCAGCUCGUGUCGUGAGAUGUUGGGUUAAGUCCCGGCAACGAGCGCAACCCUUACUCUUAGUUGCCAGCAUGUAAUGAUGGGAACUCUAAGGGGACUGCCCCGGCUAACGGGGGAGGAAGGUGGGGAUGACGUCAAGUCCUCAUGGCCCUUAUGUCCAGGGCUACACACGUGCUACAAUGGAUACUACAAAGGGAAGCUAAGCCGCGAGGUGGAGCAGAUCCCAUAAAGGUAUUCUAAGUUCGGAUCGGAGU